rnacentral:rRNA from 1 species
UACGUAGGCAGCAAGCGUUGUUCGGAGUUACUGGGCGUAAAGGGUGUGUAGGCGGUUGUUUAAGUUUGGUGUGAAAUCUCCCGGCUCAACUGGGAGGGUGCGCCGAAUACUGAAUGACUUGGAGUGCGGGAGAGGAAAGUGGGAAUUCCUGGUGUAGCGGUGAAAUGCGUAGAUAUCAGGAGGAACACCGGUGGUGUAGACGGCUUUCUGGACCGUAACUGACGCUGAGACACGAAAGCGUGGGGUAGCAAACAGGG